ACAGUGUCAAGAUUGAGCUGCUGAACUACCGGCAGCUCUCGCGAGCCUCCGGCGUCCUGCUGCACAUGGUGCUGCGCUGCGUGCGAGAGAGCGUGCUCUUAUACUGUCACCUCCUGAGGAACAAGGAGCCCGUCUCAUUUGUGUUCAAGAACCUUGGAGUUAUGACAUGCCAAGACAACUUCCUCUGCAUGAGGUUCUUCUGCAGCUGCAUUGCAAAGCUGGAGACCAAUGCUACCAUCCUUGCACUGUUCCACACUAGAUUUUGGAUGGAAGAUUCUGCUGACUUCGGGCCAGAGACCACCACACAUGGGAUCUGGGUGUUCCCGAGGUUUCAGCUCACUGAGAAAAAGAGCAGAGCAGAGGCGGCCGCAGAACAGAAAGCUGCAGUAGAGCGGAAGAUGAGUAGAGGGGGCUCUGCUGGCAGGCUGCUGCAGACGUGGAAGACUCUUUCCCCCUCCAUGCUGCUACAGCACGAGCCAGGCUCAAGGCAGCAAAAUGUGGCGAAGGAGCCUUCUGCCAGCGCGCUCCCGCUGUGUGCAGGCAGCUUCCACAGGACAAAGAAAGCAGGACAGAAGGAAGCAUCUACUCCUGCCCAGACCAGCACUGCACUUCCUGCCUCAGAGGAGUCUAAGAGGGUGCUGCAGGAGCUCCGGGAAGUGUCUGCGUGGAAUGAAGCAGACUGCACGCGCCUUGUGUACCAGCAGCAAGUAGAGCAAGCACGGGCAGAAAUGGCAGCAUGGGAAGGCUGGAGUGCAGGGGAGGACCAGCAUCCGCCCCAGUUACUGUCAGGGAUCGACCCUGCUGUUAACCAUCCUCUGAGCCAGGGUGCAAGCUCAGCAGUGAACGGCUGCUGGCCAGGGAGAGCAUGCAUGCUCCGCAUCCUUCAGCACAGCCCCGGGGACAGCAAGUGGGGAGGAGGUGGAGAAAGAAUGUGGAUCCUCUGCCGGGAAGUAAAAUGGGAACAGCGACCAAGCUGGCACUGCAUGCUGACCUCCUUUCCCUGCAAGCGGCUCAGGUGCUCCAGAAAUUGGAGCCGCGCCUCCAUCAGCAAGAGGCUUUUGCCAGCACAGCGGAAAGAAACCGGCAGAAGCUGGAGCUGAAGCGGCAGCUCCCCUG
rnacentral:lncRNA from 1 species